UGUUGACAAAAGCCUCACCCGACAGGACCUGCCAUGGCCGCAGCUGCCGGGACGGCGGCGGGACAGCCCCUCCCUCCCGACCCCCUCACCUUCUUCUAUCGAUGGCCGCGGGUGGGUGGAAGCAGAGCAGCUCGGCCACGCGUGUGCAAGUGCUGGCGGAAGAGCUCGCUGGCCUUUCUCGAAAGUCGACGAGUCCCUGCUCUUACACCGAGUCCCAUGGGAAUCAGCAGAUCCACACCGGUGGUGCAUCCUACACGACGGUCCUCCAUGAUAAGAUCUAGCCUAGCACCCAAUACAAAGUAAGCUGAGAUAGCAGGAAAGAAUGCAUACAAGAAUGAAGAAACAUAUCGGUGGUAGUGAAUGGAAAUGACGCCGAACUUCCAGAGCGAUGGCCAGCGCUGCCAAGAGGAAUCCACAGCGCUCCCAUGUAUUUUCUUUGUUGUUCCAAAAUUUGCAGUUUCAGAGUUAUGUGAUGCAUGUGAGAUAUUUUGGAUGGUCAGAUUGAUUUGGUGCAUAAGAGUAAAAUAAUUGUCUAAAUUUGUAACAAUAUUGUUUUAAA